rnacentral:rRNA from 1 species
GACGAACGCUGGCGGCGUGCUUAACACAUGCAAGUCGAACGGAAAGGCCCUGCUUUUGUGGGGUGCUCGAGUGGCGAACGGGUGAGUAACACGUGAGUAACCUGCCCUUGACUUUGGGAUAACUUCAGGAAACUGGGGCUAAUACCGGAUAGGAGCUCCUGCUGCAUGGUGGGGGUUGGAAAGUCUCGGCGGUUGGGGAUGGACUCGCGGCUUAUCAGCUUGUUGGUGGGGUAGUGGCUUACCAAGGCUUUGACGGGUAGCCGGCCUGAGAGGGUGACCGGCCACAUUGGGACUGAGAUACGGCCCAGACUCCUACGGGAGGCAGCAGUGGGGAAUAUUGCACAAUGGGCGGAAGCCUGAUGCAGCAACGCCGCGUGCGGGAUGACGGCCUUCGGGUUGUAAACCGAUUUCGCCUGUGACGAAGCGUGAGUGACGGUAAUGGGUAAAGAAGCACCGGCUAACUACGUG